GUGUUCGCUUCGGCAGCACAUAUACUAAAACUGGAACAAUACAGAGAAGAUUAGCAUGGC
ensembl:snRNA U6 U6 spliceosomal RNA